UACGGGGGGGGCAAGCGUUGUUCGGAAUUACUGGGCGUAAAGGGCUCGUAGGCGGCCAACUAAGUCAGACGUGAAAUCCCCAGGCUCAACCUGGGAACUGCGUCUGAUACUGGAUGGCUUGAGAUUGGGAGAGGGAUGCGGAAUUCCAGGUGUAGCGGUGAAAUGCGUAGAUAUCUGGAGGAACACCGGUGGCGAAGGCGGCAUCCUGGACCAACACUGACGCUGAGGAGCGAAAGCCAGGGGAGCAAACGGG
rnacentral:rRNA from 1 species